rnacentral:rRNA from 1 species
GACGAACGCUGGCGGCGUGCUUAACACAUGCCAGUCGAACGGAAAGGCCUCUUUCGGGGGGUACUCGAGUGGCGAACGGGUGAGUAACACGUGAGUAACCUGCCCUUGACUUUGGGAUAACUUCAGGAAACUGGGGCUAAUACCGGAUAGGAGCUCCUGCUGCAUGGUGGGGGUUGGAAAGUUUCGGCGGUUGGGGAUGGACUCGCGGCUUAUCAGCUUGUUGGUGGGGUAGUGGCUUACCAAGGCUUUGACGGGUAGCCGGCCUGAGAGGGUGACCGGCCACAUUGGGACUGAGAGACAGCCCAGACUCCUACGGGAGGCAGCAGUGGGGAAUAUUGCACAAUGGGUGGAAGCCUGAUGCAGCAACGCCGUGUGCGGGAUGACGGCCUUCGGGUUGUAAACCGCUUUCGCUCAUGACGAAGCUUUGUGUGACGGUAGUGGGUAAAGAAGCACCGGCUAACUACGUG